rnacentral:ncRNA from 1 species
AUUAAAUUUGAUUCUGGUUUGGGAGAUAGGUUGAUGAUGGAAUUUAAUAUGUAAGUUUUAGCGGGAUUAAAGUGUUAUUUAAAUAGUAAUACAAAUAAUUAUUCUCAGUUUUUAAUAUUAAUAAUUUAGGUUUUUAAGAAUUAGUUAAUCAUCUUUAUAACUAGCAAAAAUUGUGCCAGCAGCUGCGGUUACACAAUUAGUUAUAAUUAUUUUUUUUAGGAUGUUAUUAAUUUUGUAUAAUGUAAUUGACUAUAAUUUAUAAGUUUUUAGGUGAAAUUUGAAUUUAUGAUUAUUUAGUUAGGUGAUAUAAGAUUAUAAGAAAUAUUUAUUUUAGACUAGGAUUAGAUACCCUAUUAUUUUUUAUGUAAAAGUUUUUCUCAUUACUAAGAGUUAUGAUCUUUAAAUUGAAAGAAUUUGACGGUAAUUUAAUCAUUUUAGAGGAACCUGUUCUGUAAUUGAUAAUCCACGAUAAAUUUUACCUUGAUUAAUUAGUUUGUAUAUCUCUGUCUGUAUAAGAAUGUUUUAUUAGGAUAUUUUCUUUUAUUUUUAAAAAAUUAUAUGUCAGGUCAAGGUGCAGCUAUAUUAAGGAUUGAAAUGGGUUACAUUUAAUUUUAAUUAUUGGAUUAAUUUAUGUAAUAAAUUAUGAAACUGGAUUUAAUUGUAAUGUAUAUUAUAUAUUAUUCAUGAUAUAUGUUCUUGAUUAAGUACACAUCGCCCGUCGCUCUCAUUAUAAGAUGAGAUAAGUCGUAACAAAGUAGUCCUAUCGGAAGAUGGGGCUGGAAUUAU